GCUUGUCUCAAAGAUUAAGCCAUGCAUGUCUUAGUGUAAAUAACUCUUAUGAAACUGCGAAUGGCUCAUUAAAUCAGUUAUCGUUUAUUUGAUGGUCCCUUACUACAUGGAUAACCGUAGUAAUUCUAGAGCUAAUACAUGCACAAAGGCCCGACUCACGAAGGGCUGUAUUUAUUAGAUUUAAAGCCGACAUCUUUUGGUGAUUCAUAAUAAUUAAGCGGAUCGCAUGGCCUUGUGCUAGCGACAGUCCACUCGAUUUUCUGCCCUAUCAUGGUUGAGAUUGUAAGAUAGAGGCUUACAAUGCCUACAACGGGUAACGGGGAAUUAGGGUUCGAUUCCGGAGAGGGAGCCUGAGAAACGGCUACCACAUCCAAGGAAGGCAGCAGG
rnacentral:rRNA from 1 species